GCCCUUGUAGUGUAAUGGAUAACACACAAGCCUCCGAAGCUUGGAAUGUGAGUUCGAUCCUCGCCGAGGGCA
rnacentral:tRNA from 4 species